GAGGAAGUCGGGACCUUCAGUGAGGAUGGCUGGCGACCAAAGAACUGAACUUUAACACGUGAGUUGGUCUCCCUGCGACCACAGAUGUCCAACGCAGGCCCACCUCCCGCCGCCUGGAAGGCCCAGGUGUGGCUGGAGGGCGGCUGAAAGGGUCAGAACACGAGAUUAUUCUCAACUUUGGGCUUUUACACAGCAGUUUCAAAGACAAAGGGGCUUUUCAGGUAGGUUUGGUUUGCCGUCCUCCUCCUCCCAGGUCUGAGCUUGUUCCCCAAGGUCCCCAGCCAUGCUUGGGACGUCCUUCAGUUUGCCCCAUUUUCUUCGGGCCACCCCGCGCCCCUAGGUUGUCUGCCGUCCCUCCUAGCGAGAGGUGGAUGGCCGCGACAUUCCAGGGAGGAAAAAUGGACGGGUGAGGGGGGGCAAAGACGCCCUUCUGACCUCCUACCUCACCUCGGUGACGCGUCCCACCACGCCCGCGAGGAGCCCGCAGGCUACGCCUUCGCCGCGCUAGCUCCCGUCGCUCCGAUCCUCGGCGGGGGGAGGGGCGCGGUGCGGCCGGCGCUCUCUGAUUGGCUCCCGCGUCGGCGAUCCACGCCACGAUUGUUCCCUGCGACCGUCUGGCGCCAGCGCACUGCAGGUGGGGAGUGGGCGUUGGAAGUUGCUGGAAGUUGGAGGCAGGGGAGCGGUCACUCGCGGCGAGCGCCGGCGGCGUCCAGGGCGCAAAGUUGAGAGCAGUCCCUAGUCUGAGCCUUUCAGUCGCGCUCCAGUAUCAUCAGUACCACGGACUUCACCAUGGACUUACCACUUGCUGCGGCCCCUCAGCAACCCAGUGCACCUGCCACUCCACCAGAAGAGCCAUGUGACCGGAUCCCCAGUUUGGCAGAGGAGACAUGUGAGAGGACGGAAGGUUUUGGCCGAAAAGACAUCUGGCAGGGAACAGAGAGAACAGGUGUGGCAGAGAGAACGUCUGAGAAGCUUGCACGAUUCGCAGAAGGAGCAUCGGUAGAAGAUUGCCUGUUUGCCCAAAGGAACGUCAAGUUCCAAAGGAAUGUUUCUGGUGGCUUACAAGGACUAUCUCCAACGUGCUUGGUCUCGCUUAACUUUCGCAGGAUCCUGAAUCGGGCAUCUACUGUUCGUCCUUACUGCUCUGGGAUGUCUCGGUCUUACCAUGUCCCUGCCAACCCUGGUCCUAUCUUGUCACGAUCACCCACUGAAGAGAGGAGGUGCUGGAGUGAACGUGGUUGGGGGAGCCCCGUUCAUCCCCAGGGUCCCAGAAUGAACCAGUGUUACCAUGUACUCCUGGUCUUGCCUUCCUUCCUGCUCUAA
rnacentral:lncRNA from 1 species